rnacentral:misc_RNA from 1 species
GAUGAAGAACGUAGCGAAAUGCGAUAAGUAAUGUGAAUUGCAGAAUUCAGUGAAUCAUCGAAUCUUUGAACGCACAUUGCGCCCGCCAGUAUUCUGGCGGGCAUGCCUGUUCGAGCGUCAUUACAACCCUCAGGCCCCCGGGCCUGGCGUUGGGGAUCGGCGGAAGCCCCCUGCGGGCACAACGCCGUCCCCCAAAUACAGUGGCGGUCCCGCCGCAGCUUCCAUUGCGUAGUAGCUAACACCUCGCAACUGGAGAGCGGCGCGGCCACGCCGUAAAACACCCAACUUCUGAAUGUUGACCUCGAAUCAGGUAGGAUUACCCGCUGAACUUAAGCAUAUCAAUAAGCGGAGGA